UAUUAUUCUGUUUAUGGAAGGC
rnacentral:miRNA from 1 species